rnacentral:lncRNA from 1 species
CUGGGCUGGAGCCAUCUGCCUGAAAGAGACUCCAACAAUUAAAUACUGCCAGGCUGUACCCCAUUUCAGAGCAACCCCUAAUCCUCAGUCACAGGAGGAAAUGAGCCAGCAGGAUUGUCCUGGGACCCAGCUGCAUGCCCCAUCCUGCUCUCUCCCACAUCACUCCUGGAAUUUCCCCUCCUCUCAGCUCAGUGCAGUGCGGUAUGUGAGCCAGCCAGCCUGCCUCCCAGCAUUCUGCGACCAGCUGCUUUUUCCUAGAAAGCCCAGAACUAAAUGCCACGGGCACAGCACAACAUGCAGAGCAAUAGUGGGGCCGAAUGCAAAAGCACGGAGAGGGGCUAAGUGUAAUUCCUGGGCUGGCAUGGGGUGAUUGGUGCCAGCUGAGCUGGGCUCAACAGUGCUGUGGCUGUGGCAUUUGCCAGCUCCUGAAGAAGCCACGGCCACUCUGCCAUGGAAUCACAAAACACCCUGAGCUGGAAGAGACCCACUGGUGCAAAUGGCACAAAUGGUUCAUUAUGGUGACCCCUUUGGUCCAGGAGAAGACUGAUGUCCUCAUGCGACUGCUUUCUGAGUCCAGCACUGCCCUUCAGCCUCCCUUUGGGCUACGUAGAACUGAGAAGGGAUCUGAACCAGAACUUUCCAUCCUGCAAAGGCAGGCAGGUGCCAAGGGACACAGGUCUGGCCCCCACCCAGCUCCAGGACAUGAGCACCACUUUCAUUCCUUCCCUCCCCACGCACAGAUAAUUGUGCUGCCCUUGGCUGGCUCCAACCAUCACACCAGCCAGCAAGAGCUCAUGAACCAGCCAUAGACCAGAACAGCAGGGAGUGAGUGCACACUAACCCUGCGUGCUGGCAAGGACUGGCUCUCUGGUGCUUUCUUGUCAGGGUCCAUAGGACUUUAUAAGUCUGCACUUUGGCUACCUAGCUUGAUCCUGCUCUUCCUGAAGGUAUAAUAAUCCUUUUCUUCCUUCUAAGGGUCUGGUUGCAGAGGGACUGGCUGCAGCCUUAGGAGUGGCUCUUAUCUUUCAUUGCCUCAGCAGUUGCCCUAUGAUCAGAGAUAUCAUCAGCUUACAGCAUACCUGGAGACCUGUGCCACCCUGCUGCAGCCACAGGAAGUGUUGCAGUAGACAUCAGCCAGCCCAGACAUCGCCACAAGCAUGCUGGAAGGGGUGGGAAGGUGGCUAUCCCAGCACUGCAGGGCACCAUUAAAAUCCACACCAGCUCUUGUGCUUUUGCUCUGGGAAGAGAUGUACUUUCAUCCUCGGGCAAAUCUGUAGCUGGCUCAGAGAGCCGUUUGUUUGUUUGGGCUAUGAAGUAAUGACUUUGAAGGAGAAAAUAAAGCGUCUUGGACUUCCCCUUUAAUAUUUCUAUUUAGUUUGCCAAUAAGUAGUGGAAGUUUGAUACUUCCUUUUAUGUCAACAAUAGAGCACAAAAGUACACGGUAAACUCUUGGUUCCACUGCAAACAAUUAACACCAGAAUAGUGGCACACAUUUGAGGGGGAUUUCUCCUGGAGGCCCUCCAGGACAAUCCCAGCAAUCCGCACUGCUCUUCCUCCCAUGGGGCCGGCAGCAAACCAUCAGGGACAUUCUGCGCUGUGUCUGUCAUGAAAAGGAUAGGGGGACAAAAUGACUUUGGAUGAACCAGCAGGGGCCUUCUGCUGUAACGCACAGAUUUCCAAA